AUACGUAGGGAGCGAGCGUUGUCCGGAAUUACUGGGUGUAAAGGGAGCGUAGGCGGGAGUGCAAGUCAGAUGUGAAAUACAUGGGCUCAACCCAUGGGCUGCAUUUGAAACUGCAUUUCUUGAGUGAAGUAGAGGUAAGCGGAAUUCCUGGUGUAGCGGUGAAAUGCGUAGAUAUCAGGAGGAACACCGGUGGCGAAGGCGGCUUACUGGGCUUUUACGGACGCUGAGGCUCGAAAGCGUGGGGAGCAAACAGGAUUAGAUACCCUGGUAGUCCACGCUGUAAACGAUGAUUACUAGGUGUGGGGGGACUGACCCCUUCCGUGCCGCAGUUAACACAAUAAGUAAUCCACCUGGGGAGUACGGCCGCAAGGUUGAAACUCAAAUGAAUUGACGGGG
rnacentral:rRNA from 1 species